rnacentral:rRNA from 1 species
UACGGAGGGUGCAAGCGUUGUCCGGAUUUAUUGGGUUUAAAGGGCGCGUAGGCGGCCACCGCAAGUCGACUGUGAAAUCUCCGGGCUUAACCCGGAAAGGUCAGCCGAUACUGCGGGGCUAGAGUGCAGAAGGGGCAACUGGAAUUCUCGGUGUAGCGGUGAAAUGCGUAGAUAUCGAGAGGAACACCUGCGGCGAAGGCGGGUUGCUGGGCUGACACUGACGCUCAUGCACGAAAGCGUGGGGAGCAAACAGG